rnacentral:rRNA from 1 species
CAGUAGCCACGGGAAUACAGAGGGUGCGAGCGUUAAUCGGAUUUACUGGGCGUAAAGCGUGCGUAGGCGGCUUCUUAAGUCGGAUGUGAAAUCCCUGAGCUUAACUUAGGAAUUGCAUUCGAUACUGGGAAGCUAGAGUAUGGGAGAGGAUGGUAGAAUUCCAGGUGUAGCGGUGAAAUGCGUAGAGAUCUGGAGGAAUACCGAUGGCGAAGGCAGCCAUCUGGCCUAAUACUGACGCUGAGGUACGAAAGCAUGGGGAGCAAACAGGAUUAGAUACCCGCGAGUCCCUGUCUCUUAUACA